rnacentral:rRNA from 1 species
GACGAACGCUGGCGGCGUGCUUAACACAUGCAAGUCGAACGGAAAGGCCCUGCUUUUGUGGGGUGCUCGAGUGCCGAACGGGUGAGUAACACGUGAGUAACCUGCCCUUGACUUUGUGAUAACUUCAGGAAACUGGGGCUAAUACCGGAUAGGAGCUCCUGCUGCAUGGUGGGGGUUGGAAAGUUUCGGCUGUUGGGGAUGGACUCGCGGCUUAUCAGCUUGUUGGUGGGGUAGUGGCUUACAAAGGCUUUGACGGGUAGCCGGCCUGAGAGGGUGACCGACCACAUUGGGACUGCGAUACGGCCCAGACUCCUACGGGAGGCAGCAGUGGGGAAUCUUGCACAAUGGGCGGAAGCCUGAUGCAGCAACGCCGCGUGCGGGAUGACGGCCUUCGGGUUGUAAACCGCUGUCGCCUGUGACGAAGCGUGAGUGACGGUAAUGGGUAAAGAAGCACCGGCUAACUACGUG